GCAGCAAUAAAGGGCCAAGUCAAUGUAUUGCAAGUAUUGGUUCGAGUGUGUCCACAAGCUGUUCGAGUCACGCUAGAUCGUGAUGAAACUAUCGUACACUUAUGUGUCAACCACAAUCAACAACAAACUCUGGAAGUAUUGCUAAAGGUGAUUACAAGUCGUGAUUUUGUCAAUGCCAAAGAUAGGUGUGGCAACAACAUAUUACAUCUUGCUACGCUGAAUAAACAGUUACAGAUGGCAAGAUGUGUGCUUGACAAUUGCAUAAUUGAUGAAAAUGCAAGAAACGCGAAUAACCACACAGCAAUGGAUGUAGUACUUCUAGCCAAAAAAAAUGGUGAUUUGGACCAUAACUGCAAUACUGAAGACCUCCUUCAACAAGCUCAUGCAAAAAGAGCCCCAGAUUUCCAAAUUGGUGAGUCGAUGACAAAGGGAAGGGACUUAUUAAUGGCAGUGGCAACAUUGGUCGCGACACUAGGAAUCCAAUCUGGGGUAAACCCUCCUGGCGGUGUUUGGCAAGAUAAUUCAAGUGAACACAGAGCUGGGCAAUCUAUACUGGCUUACAAUCAUCCAUCAUCAUACAAGUACUUCUUUGCGUGCGAACACAAUGGGAUUCGUUGCAUCUUUGAGUAUAUUCCUUUUGCUCGUUUCUAGAUUUGCAGCAAAGAGAAGAAUUUUUAUUUGGCUUUUGGUAAUCCUUAUGUGGAUAUCUAUCACGUCGACUGUAUUUACUUACGCAUUUUCUAUUAUUGCGGUCACACCCGAAAUGCAAAGGAAAUCCCUUAGUCAAACCAUUGUAGUUGCAACCAUAGUGUGGUGUAUUGUUAUGGCACUUCUUCUCCUAGUGCACACAUACCGAUUGAUAGUGAAUGCUUUUCAAGAGAAGCGUAAGAAAGAUGAGGCAGUUAGAGUAGUUUCCAGAAUUCGCGGUGAAGAACUACCGGGAACAUCUACAAUUUCCGAUCACGAAAACCAGUCCAAUGUUUGAUCUUCAUGUUUAUGUUCUUGGUGUGAAAUUUCAUCAAUUUAAGGAAGACCAGUCAAAUGUUUGAUCUUUCAUGUUCUUGGUGUGCAUUUCAUUGAGGCUUCAAUGUUUUAUCCAUGCAUAAGUUUCAUUCUAUUGUAUUUUUUAUUUUAUUUUUUAAAUAAUAAUUCCAUGUCUUCAGCUGCAAGAUUUAUAAA